UACGGGGGGGGCAAGCGUUGUUCGGAAUUACUGGGCGUAAAGGGCUCGUAGGCGGCCAACUAAGUCGGAUGUGAAAUCCCCAGGCUUAACCUGGGAACUGCAUCCGAUACUGGAUGGCUUGAAUCCGGGAGAGGGAUGCAGAAUUCCAGGUGUAGCGGUGAAAUGCGUAGAUAUCCGGAAGAACACCGGUGGCGAAGGCGGUCUGCUGGGGUGAUGCUGACACUGAUGCGCGACAGCGUGGGGAGCAAACAGG
rnacentral:rRNA from 1 species